rnacentral:tRNA from 1 species
GCGGGAAUAGCUCAGGUGGUAGAGCGCAACCUUGCCAAGGUUGAGGUCGCGAGUUCGAGUCUCGUUUCCCGCUCCA